rnacentral:rRNA from 1 species
UUGAACGCUGGCGGCAUGCUUUACACCUGCCAGUCGCACGGCAGCGCGGGCUUCGGCCUGGCGGCGAGUGGCGAACGGGUGAGUAAUGCAUCGGAACGUGCCCAGUAGUGGGGGAUAGCCCGGCGAAAGCCGGAUUAAUACCGCAUACGACCUGAGGGUGAAAGCGGGGGACCGAAAGGCCUCGCGCUAUUGGAGCGGCCGAUGUCGGAUUAGCUAGUUGGUGGGGUAAAGGCUUACCAAGGCGACGAUCCGUAGCUGGUCUGAGAGGACGACCAGCCACACUGGGACUGAGACACGGCCCAGACUCCUACGGGAGGCAGCAGUGGGGAAUUUUGGACAAUGGGGGCAACCCUGAUCCAGCCAUGCCGCGUGCGGGAAGAAGGCCUUCGGGUUGUAAACCGCUUUUGUUCGGGAAGAAAUCCUCUGGGCUAAUACCCCGGGGGGAUGACGGUACCGGAAGAAUAAGCACCGGCUAACUACGUG